UGCUGUAAUACUAUCUGCCUCUUUUAUGUGGCUUAGGACGUAUGCAAGGUUUGUUGCAAGAAGAUAUAUUAGUUCCUAAAGCUAGCAAAAGUGCUUUUGGCUUUCAGUAAAUUUUUGUUUUAUCUAUAGCAAUUCAAUAUCUUAAAUUUUGCCUUCAAAAACCAGGCUUUUCCAAGUGGCACAUAGAAUUGAAAGACUUUCUACAUUCUUUUAGCCAGUAAGACUUCCUAUCUUUAACACCAGUUGAUGGAGCUUAGUCUGAUUCACCUGCGCUAAUUUGAUCAAAAUCUACCAUUUUAGGAUCUCAAGGGAGUCUAUUAUCUCCACAAGCAGCAUUUUCUUCAAUUGAAAUUGAAUGUUACAAUUCUUUUUUUCCCCCUUUGAUUUGGUUAUGAACUAAGAAAUAUGAGUAAGUUUUGGGUAUUUUGGUUGGGUUGGUUUUGAUUUAAGCUUUUUGGUUGGGUUAGUUGUAUAGUGAAAAGGCAUGUCUGUUUUAUUUCAAUGUAAUUUGUCAGGCUCCUCCAUAAAUACCACGAAAGUUUGGGUUGUGAUGACUGAGAGUCUAUGUUCGUAACCAGAUUUCAACAUCCAUACUUUAGAAUGUAUAGUAAUAAUAAUUUUUUGGUAAAUGGAUGUCAUACCCAAAAAAAAAAAAAAAAAAGAUUUAAAAGGAAAGGCAUUUAAGUAAAUUUUUUUGUGGGGUCAAUUUUAUAAUUUCUAAUUAUAAGGGAGUUUUUUUAGAAAAUAAGGUUGAAACCCUAACUAUUUAUAAGCUUAUUAAGUCAAUGUAUAGAGGAGAUAUUUUGAGAGAGGAGAUUACUCAAAGGACUGAAGUAGAGAAAGAUUGACUACACCCUUGAGUGUUGCGUUAAUUGCAAAAGAAGGCUCUUGGAUCAGGUUUUGCAUAGGUUGACCGAAUUGGGGUUUUGGCGAAUUGCAAAAGGUGAUAUCUAAGGAUUUUAGAAGAAGUGUUAGGGAGAAGUUCCUUUUGGUAUGGCUUUUGGAGUUUUAGAUUGUGAGGAAAAGCAAGUUUUGGGAGUUUUGAUGUUGUGUUGUGAGCAAGGAAAGAAGAUUAGUGGUUUUGGAAUCAGUUGUGAUACAUAGGCUACAGUUCACAAGUCAUAGUGAUUGAGGCACUGCAUUAGAACGAGUACCAAAAAUUUUGAAAGUAAGAAACCCAAUGAUGCUUGAAAGAACAGGGGCCUACCUUCACUAGCCUGCCACCACUGGUCAGCCAGUGAAACCACUAUCGGUAAAACUAAUUUCUUUCUUUUUUCCCUUUCAGUUGUACUGCUUUGGAUUUUAUUUCUUAAUCUUCUUCUCCUUUACUAUUAUAGAGUGAAUUGGGGAAUUGGACCUUUACUUAGCAGUAGUUGGAUUUGAAAUAAACUCAUUCUAUUUUGUAGAAUAGAUUAGGUGAUUACGUUGGGUGUCAUUACUCAUUAGGAUGUUAUUAUCUCAUUAGCCAAUUGUUUCGGCUAUUUUAAUUCUAAUUAGUUUGCUAUUUGAAUUAUUUUCAAUUGGAUGUAAUCCAUAUCA